AUGACGUGGCGAAUUCCUAUUCGCGGCACAGGGUUGGCACAUGGAAAUCUGGAACAGAAAAAGCUGGCUGGUAAGGUGACUAAGAAGGUUUUGCUUCCCAUUUGUUAUACAGAAAUGGGUCGUGCCAAUCGUGUGUUUCGGCUACUCCUGUUAUUCCUAUUGUUUGUUAUUGCGGCAGAGGGAACUGUCGAGGAGUAUACUACUAUUAUGAUCCUCCAAGACGAGUGGAAAAUAAAACCUCCAAGUUGGGUUGGUUCUGAUCCUUGUGGCAACUGGGAAGGCAUCACUUGCACCAAUUCACGCAUCACUACUCUAGCAUUGGCAGACAUGGGUUUGAAAGGCGGGAUACCUAGUGAUAUUGAGACGUUAUCUGAGCUACAGAUUCUGAAUCUGGCUUUCAACGAGGACCUGAAGGGACAACUUCGAGCAUCAAUUGGAAACUUGACCAAACUAAAAACCUUAAAUCUUGAUGGUUGCAGGUUCUCCGGUCAUAUUCCAGCUACAAUAGGAUCUCUAAAGCAACUUACUUAUCUAUCUCUGAAAAACAAUAGAUUUAGUGGUCCAAUUCCACCUUCCAUUGGCAAUCUAGCCAAUCUUGUCUUUCUGGACCUAUCGGACAACAUGCUUGGGGAUUCCAUUCCAGUCUCUAAUGGGACUGCACCUGGUCUUGAUAUGUUAAAUAAAACAAAGCACUUUCAUUUUUCAAAUAACCAGCUCUCGGGCAGCAUUCCACCUCAACUGUUCAGCUCAAAUAUGUCUCUGGUACAUUUGAUUUUUGACAGAAAUAAUUUUACUGGCAGCAUCCCUUCCACACUCGGACUUGUGAAAACUCUGGAGGCAGUACUCCUUUAUAGAAAUUCAUUAAGUGGGCCAGUACCUUCGAGCCUCAGAAAUCUUACUAAGGUGUCUGAACUACAAUUGUCCAACAAUAAGCUGACUGGUCCUAUGCCCAACCUUACUCUCAUGGAUUCCCUCCACUAUGUGGAUAUGAGUAAUAAUACUUUUGAUGCGUCAGAUGUUCCCAAUUGGUUUUCAACCUUGAAGUUCUUGACAACAUUAAUGAUGGAAAACACAGGACUUCAGGGACAAGUCCCUCAAUCCCUUUUCAGCCUUCAAGAUUUGGAGACAGUGAGACUAAAGAACAACGGUCUCAAUGGUACAUUGGAUAUUGGAACCAAUUACAGCAGCCAAUUGAACCUAAUUGAUCUGCAGAUGAACAACAUUUCUGAUGUUGCACCGAUUGAUGAGGAGCACAACUACACAUUGAUUCUAGUUGACAAUCCAAUUUGCAAGGGGAGUCAGAAUAACAUGGCAAAUAACUACUGCAAUGUUUCUCCUCCUAAUUCCUCAGUUUCAACUACACCAAGUAAUUGUGAUACCUGUAGAUCUGGCCAGGUUGCUUCCCCCAACUGUAAAUGUGCAUCUCCCUACACACGAACUCUAGUCUUCUUAUUUGUUUCUUUCUCAAACCUGGAUAACGUCAAUUAUUACAAAGCUCUCUCGGACAAUCUCACAAGAUAUUUUCAGUCCAGAAACCUUCCUGUGGAUUCAGUUUCACUGAGUCAUCCGAGCUGGAGCCCAUCUAAUCAACUGGAAAUUAUCAUGGAAAUGUUCCCAUCCGGUGAUCAAGUUAGCUUCAACCAAACAGAAACUUCAGCGAUUACUUCUGUUCUAAGCAACCAGACUCUAGAGGGGCGUCCUAUUCAUUUUGGACCCUACUCUUUUCUUGUUCUUUACACCAACUCUGGAGGAUCAAACAAGGCCGUGAUUAUCGGAACGGCAAUUGGUGGUUCUGUGCUCCUUUCCUUAUUAGUCCUUGUAGGGCUUUAUGCUCUCCACCAGAAGAGGAAAGAAGAUGAGACAUUGAGCGGAUCGAUCCUUUUGACAGGGUUUUCAAAUAGCACUGCUGGUGGUCCUCAACUAAAAGGAGCAAGAUUGUUCUCAUUUGAAGAGCUCAAGAAAUGCACAGAUGGUUUUUCAGAAGCAAAUGAUAUUGGAUCUGGAGGUUAUGGACAGGUGUAUAAGGCAAUUCUUCCAACAGGCCAAAUGGUUGCCAUUAAAAGAGCUAAACGGGAAUCCAUGCAGGGAGGAGUUGAGUUCACAGCCGAGGUUGAGCUCCUAUCGCGAGUACAUCAUAAGAAUCUUGUUGGUCUUGUAGGUUUUUGUUUUGAGCAAGGAGAGCAAAUAUUGGUAUAUGAGUAUGUUCCAAAUGGUGAUUUGAGGGACACCCUUUCAGGGAAGUCCGGAAUCAGGUUGGACUGGAUGAGAAGACUUCAAAUAGCACUUGGUGCAGCAAGAGGUCUGGCAUAUCUUCAUGAACUUGCAAACCCGACCAUUAUACACCGGGACAUCAAAUCAAACAACAUACUACUCGAUAAAGAUUUAAAUGCAAAAGUUGCUGAUUUUGGUCUCUCCAAGUCAUUUGCUGAUAGUGGAACUGGAAUGGACCACUUAUCUACUCAAGUUAAAGGGACACUGGGCUACUUGGAUCCGGAAUAUUAUAUGACUCAACAGUUGACUGAGAAGAGUGACGUCUAUAGCUUCGGCGUGGUAAUGUUGGAGCUGAUAACUGCUAGAAGGCCAAUAGUGCAAGGGCAAUAUAUAGUGAGAGUGGUACAGAUGAGAAUGGAUAAGUCGAAAGAUUUGUACGACCUUGAUGACAUUCUUGACCCUUUCAUUGGUUUAGGAACAGAGCUGAAAGGUGUAGAAAUGUUUGUGGAUUUGGCAAUGUCUUGUGUAGAAGAAUUAAGGGAUAAAAGACCAAGAAUGGGGGAAGUGGUGAAACAGAUAGAGAACCUUAUACAAAUUGCUGGUUUGAACGCCAGUAUUAAUCCAUUGUCCACUUCAGCAAGGUAUGAGGAAUAUGAGAGUAAGGACAGCAACGAGGAUAUUUACAGCAGACCCUUUGAUUAUAGUGGAGUUUUUGAGGGAUGAAGAUGGAAGUCUAGUGAGUUUAUGAUAACAUAAUUUAUGUAAAGUUUGAACAAACCUUGAUUUUGGUCUCCUUAUUGUGGGUUCUUUUUCUCUAAUGG